AUGAACGCUGGCGGCAGGCCUAACACAUGCAAGUCGAACGGAGUUAUAUUGUAGCUUGCUAUGGUAUAACUUAGUGGCAGACGGGUGAGUAAUGUAUAGGAAUCUACCUAGUAGUACGGAAUAAUUGUUGGAAACGGCAACUAAUACCGUAUACGCCCUACGGGGGAAAAAUUUAUUGCUAUUAGAUGAGCCUAUAUUAGAUUAGCUAGUUGGUGGAGUAAUAGCCUACCAAGGCAAUGAUCUAUAGCUGAUCUGAGAGGAUGAUCAGCCACACUGGAACUGAGAUACGGUCCAGACUCCUACGGGAGGCAGCAGUGGGGAAUAUUGGACAAUGGGCGAAAGCCUGAUCCAGCCAUGCCGCAUGAGUGAAGAAGGCCUUUGGGUUGUAAAGCUCUUUUAGUGAGGAAGAUAAUGACGGUACUCACAGAAGAAGUCCUGGCUAACUCCGUGCCAGCAGCCGCGGUAAUACGGAGAGGGCUAGCGUUAUUCGGAAUUAUUGGGCGUAAAGGGCGCGUAGGCGGAUUAGUAAGUUAAAAGUGAAAUCCCAAGGCUCAACCUUGGAAUUGCUUUUAAAAUGUNUANUCUUAGAGAUUGAGAGAGGAUAGAGGAUUUCCUAGUGUAGAGGUUGAAAUUCGUAAAUUAUUAAGGAGGAAC
rnacentral:rRNA from 1 species